rnacentral:pre_miRNA from 2 species
GACUUCAAUUGUAAAAUUCAUCAACAACAAAGUUGUAUAAUCCAUUUAGAUCUAUAAUUUUUAUUUUGGUCAUUUGUUUAUCUGAUAAAGUGAUUUGUAAUAUUGUUCACAAAAUGUAAACAUCUCUGAUAUAGUUUAUAAAGUAUAGGAGAGAUAUGUAAAUUUUGUGAAUAAUGUUACUAUCGCUUUGUCGGAUAAAGAAAUAACAAAAAAUAAAAGUUAUAGAUAUUAGUGAGUUAUACAACUUUGUUGUUGAUGACUUUUUCAAUUGAAAUC